UGCCUGGGUGGCGGAAUUUGGUAGACGCGCUAGCUUCAGGUGCUAGUGACUUUAUUGUCAUGGAAGUUCGAGUCUUCUCCUAGGCACCA
rnacentral:tRNA from 1 species